rnacentral:lncRNA from 1 species
UACUAUUGUGAUUUUAUUGGUUGGUGAAUUAUAAAGUGGGCACUGCAGUGACGGGGGUUCCGUGGGCCAGCCUAAUUAGAGGGGCACGGUUCCCAAUUAUUGAGCUUACCUCGAUUGGAGAGGCACGUAGAAUAACUCCCGAGGUAGGAUUUGUGGGCACUCAGUGACGGGGUUUCGUGGAUCGGCCUAAUUAGAGGGGCACGAUUCCCAAUUAUUGAGCUUACCUCGAUUGGAGAGGCGCGUAGGAUAACUCCCGAUGUAGGAUUUGAGUACACUUCACGCUGGCCACCAUGUGAAAUUGGGACUCAGCCAACGCCAAGGAACGACUGUGUUGUCAAAGGUGAAAUGUGUUUGUGUGUGUGAUAAUAAAUAGCCUUGGCGAUCUCGGUAAGAUGCCUCCGCGGGGUAUCCCCGAGAAUGGAUUUUUGGCAAGGGCCAAGUUUUGAAAAGUGCAUAAGCCAUGUUGAGUAAUUGAAUGAAAUCCAAUUAUUUAUAUGGGUUAGGAUGAAUUAUUUUAAUUGUCUCCUAUUACUCGGCUUUAGAUUAUUUUGAUGAUGUUUGUCUACUCACUGGGAUUAUGUAAUCAUAAUCUCACCCAUCUUCCUAUCCAUUUUUCAGGCUCAGGACAAUUUGUUGAUAGUUAAUUAAGAUAAGAAUUAAUCUCGAAGUUGUAUCCUAGAAAGUAAGGGUUCAUAGCCCUACAUCUUCUUAGUCAGUUGGGGGCCCACGUAUCACUGUAAAAGUAAUUUUAUUCUUCAGUUAUUUGAUUUAAAGUAUGUAUGAAUAUAUUUAGCUUUUACACCAUGUUUUUGGUGAGUUUCGGUAUUUUUGAAGAAAAAUGACGAAAAUGCCCCUGUGAGCCAAAAAGUAAUAUUUUAUUGUUUUGAGUUGGAAAUGACUUAUGAUUUUUUUGAAAUGUGAGAUUUAAUAACUGUCGCUCACUGGGGAGAUGCGGAAGCUGAUGCUAAGCCUUGCGGGGUUUCGAUCGGCAUUCGGGGUAAUGAGUGCCUAUCGGGACGUCGCGACGGUUGUCACGGGCUUGAUGGGAGUUUCGGGUCGUGACAUCUUAUGCAUCAAAAGAAUUCUCUAUGGCUUUCAACGUUUUUCGAGUUUAAAGGCUAAUCUCCAAAAGAGUCAUUUAUUUGCCAUUGGGGUGGAGCAUAAUUUUAUUGACCAUUAGGCUCACCUUAUCUCUGACAAGGUUGGUACCUUUCCUUCCAUUUAUCUUGGUUUUCCUAUUGGUGUGCAUCUUAAUUCUAAUGUCCUAUGGAAUCCGAUUGUGGAAAAGUUCAAAGCUAAAUUGGCAAGUUAGAAAGCUAAUCUUCUUUCCACCGGGGGCAGGGUCACUCUUAUCAAUUCUGUCUUAUCUGCGCUCUCGGUUUAUUUUAUGUCCUUUUUCUGGAUUCCUAUUAGAAUUAAAGAAAAGCUUGGCAGAAUUAUUAGGAAGUUUCUUUGGAGUGGGAAUAGUGGCAGUAGAAAAUUGCAUUAUGUCAAAUGGGAGGUGAUUUGUCCCCCUAAAGAGUUUGGUGGCUUAAGCAUUUUUAAUCUACACCUUAAAAAUUUUGCUUUACUUUAUAAAUGGAUAUGGAGGUUUGGUGAAGAAGGAAAACUUCUGGUGCAAUAUUAUUGUUGAAAAAAAUGGAAUGAACCCCUUAUCCCUUAUGCCUUGUUGCUCUUUGAGAAAAUCAUCUUCUUUAUGGAAGAAUAUUACCAAGCCUCUUUCUUCCAAUGAUGAUUUAUCUAAAUUGAUCAAAGAUGGUAUUAGCUUCAUCCCUAGGAAAGGCAAUAAAAUUAAAUUUUGGUAUGGCAAUUGGACGGAUGGGCUCCCCUUCAAGAUCUCCUAUCCUCGUAUCUUUGCUUUGUCCUCAAACAAAUAUGGUGUUCUUGCUUAUUUUGGUGACUGAAUUAGUGAUAUUUAAGCUGAAAAAUCCCCCCGAGGGGGAAUUUUUUUGAUUGGGAAAAAUAUCAACAGCAGCUUCUCCUCGACAUUAUUAAUAACUUCUUUCUCGACAAAGUUGAUUUUGAUAAAAUCAUUUGGAAAGGACAACAAGUGGUUCUUAUUCUUUUUGUAGUUUCUAUAUUUAUGCCUUUAAAGCUUUUGGCAAUCCAAAUGGGAACAGUAAAUUUUGGAACCUUAAAUGGCCUAAUCUUGCUCCUCCUAAGUGUGAGGUCUUUUGUUGGGAAGUCAUGAAAAGGCAUAUUGCUUGAAGGGUGAGCCACUUGGAUGAGGAAUUCUUAAUAGCAAUGCUGCACUUUGUCCCAUCUGUUUUUCUGAUGUUGAAACUAUUGAACAUCUGUUUAUCAAAUGUCAUCAUGUUUGGAAAGUUUGGUCUCUUUGGAUUAAUGCUUGGGCCUUUUCAUGGGCUCUCCCCUGGAAAUAUGAGGGAUUUUUAUUUCUUGGAACACUUUUUGUAGUGAAUGUGAGCAUAAUCCAGUUUGGAGGAUGGCUUUUAUGGCUAUUUUAUGGACAACAUGGAUUCAUAGAAAUAAUCUUGUUUUUAAUGGAAAGAUUUGGGAU